UCCGAAGGAGAUGUUGCAGUGGUCCUCACUGGAAAUUGUUUUACAUCCGAGGGCUCAUGACCCACAUAAGAGGCGUGUGCUGUCUUUUGCUGUGCUAAACUGGAUGUACAGCCUGGCCUUCAGGACCUUGCUGUACUGAGCUAAUCCCUUGUCUGCAGAAUAAAACUGGCCAGUAACAGAGGAGCUGCAAGCAGCACAGCUAUGUUACCUCUGUGGCCUUGCCUUUACCUCGUGAUGCAGCAAGAAGUUCUCAUGUAAACAUCCCUUCUGUUUGAUAGUAGAAAUGAUAAAUAGCACUGUUUUCUUGGAAGAAAAUUCUGUGACAGCUUGAAGAACCAAAAGGAAGUAACCCUUCCACAAAUGGGGUCUUCAUGGUGUGCUGCCUGUGGAUUGGAGAUGUUCAGUGAUGCACUUCUCAAGGUUCUCACCACUGAAACAGAUCAAUGCAUUUCAACAAGAUGUCACAGAAAACCCACAAUGAUUCCAAAGUGAAGAUCAUCCUGAAUGGGGUUAUUCUGAUUUCACAAGACACAAAUGAACUUAUUAAGAGUUGCUGGCUUUGAAGGUUCUCAGCUGAUUUACCAUUUCAGUUGGAAAUCGAGAAGAGAAAUGAUUCAUUUUUUCAUGGUGACUUCCUUGGAAAGCAUUAUUACUCACUGGUGUACAGCUUCAGUACAUGACUGUCUAAGUGAAGGCAUUUCCAUCACAGUGUUCUCUCCUUGAAGAGUGACUACCAUAGAAUAUUAUUGAUUUGCUUAGUGUAUGAUGAUUCAGAGGUUAGACAGCUCAGAGUACAGCUGUUUUAAAAACUUUAUGUCAAAUAAACUCAAAUACGAUUCUGUAGCAGAAAAGCUCAGGCAUUUUCUGCCCCCUAGUGGAAGUACAAUCUUUAAGUUCUGUAUUUGAUUUGUAUAGAAAUUAUUUCUUUUUGAUCACAAACCAAUGAAAUACAAAUCAAGAAAAAGGAACAAAU